rnacentral:rRNA from 1 species
CCUACGGGUGGCAGCAGUGGGGAAUAUUGCACAAUGGGGGAAACCCUGAUGCAGCGACGCCGCGUGAGUGAAGAAGUAUUUCAGUACUUAAAGCUCUAUCAGCCAGGAAGAAAAUGACGGUACCUGACUAAGAAGCCCCGUCUAACUACGUGCCAGCAGCCGCGGGAAUGCGUAGGGGGCAAGCGUUAUGCGGAUUUACUGGGUGUAAAGGGAGCGUAGACGGCAUCGCAAGUCUGGAGUGAAAGACCAUGGCUUAACCAUGGAACUGCGUUGGAAACUGGGCAGCUGGAGUGCAGGAGAGGUAAGCGGAAUUCCUAGUGUAGCGGUGAAAUGCGUAGAUAUUAGGAGGAACACCAGUGGCGAAGGCGGCUUACUGGACUGUAACUGACGUUGAGGCUCGAAAGCGUGGGGAGCAAACAGGAUUAGAUACCCGUGUAGUC